AAUAUUGGUCAAUGGGCGGAAGCCUGAACCAGCCAUGCCGCGUGAAGGAAUAAGGCCCUAUGGGUCGUAAACUUCUUUUGUGGCGGAGCAAUAAGGGUCACGUGUGGCCUGAUGAGAGUACGUCACGAAUAAGCAUCGGCUAACUCCGUGCCAGCAGCCGCGGUAAUACGGAGGAUGCAAGCGUUAUCCGGAUUUAUUGGGUUUAAAGGGUGCGUAGGCUGUGUCGUAAGUCAGGGGUGAAAUCCCGGGGCCCAACCCCGAAACUGCCCUUGAUACUGCGGCGCUGGAGUUCGGAUGCCGUGGGAGGAAUGAGUAGUGUAGCGGUGAAAUGCAUAGAUAUUACUCAGAACACCGAUUGCGAAGGCAUCUCACGAAUCCGAUACUGACGCUGAGGCACGAAAGCGUGGGGAUCAAACAGGAUUAGAUACCCUGGUAGUCCACGCAGUAAACGAUGAUAACUAACUGUCGGCGAUAAACAGUCGGUGGCCAAGCGAAAGCGAUAAGUUAUCCACCUGGGGAGUACGUUCGCAAGAAUGAAACUCAAAGGAAUUGACGGGGGCCCGCACAAGCGGAGGAACAUGUGGUUUAAUUCGAUGAUACGCGAGGAACCUUACCCGGGCUCGAACGGCUAGUGAACGACCCAGAGAUGGGAAGGCCCUUCGGGGCGCUAGUCGAGGUGCUGCAUGGUUGUCGUCAGCUCGUGCCGUGAGGUGUCGGCUUAAGUGCCAUAACGAGCGCAACCCUUGUCGCCAGUUACCAGCAUGCAAAGAUGGGGACUCUGGCGAGACUGCCACCGCAAGGUGAGAGGAAGGCGGGGAUGACGUCAAAUCAGCACGGCCCUUACGUCCGGGGCGACACACGUGUUACAAUGGCGGCCACAGAGGGAUGCCACCCAGCGAUGGGGAGCGAAUCUCGAAAAGCCGCCUCAGUUCGGACUGGAGUCUGCAACCCGACUCCACGAAGCUGGAUUCGCUAGUAAUCGCGCAUCAGCCAUGGCGCGGUGAAUACGUUCCCGGGCCU
rnacentral:rRNA from 1 species